GCGAGUCAUUGUAGCAAUACAAGGCAGACGGCUCAGUAACGCGUAGUCAAUCUACCCUAUGGACGGGAAUAACCUCGGGAAACUGAGAAUAAUGCCCGACAGAACAUUAUACCUGGAACGGUUUAUGUUUCAAAUGAUUUAUCGCCGUAGGAUGGGACUGCGGCCUAUCAGUUUGUUGGUGAGGUAAUGGCCCACCAAGACUAUUACAGGUACGGGCUCUGAGAGGAGUAGCCCGGAGAUGGGUACUGAGACACGGACCCAGGCCCUAUGGGGCGCAGCAGGCGAGAAAACUUUGCAAUGUGCGAAAGCACGACAAGGUUAAUCCGAGUGGUUUCUGCUAAAGAAACCUUUUGCUAGUCCUAGAAACACUAGUGAAUAAGGGGUGGGCAAGUUCUGGUGUCAGCCGCCGCGGUAAAACCAGCACCUCAAGUGGUCAGGAUGAUUAUUGGGCCUAAAGCAUCCGUAGCUCGUUUUGUAAGUUUCCGGUUAAAUCCAUACGCUUAACGUAUGGGCUGCCGGGAAUACUGCAUAACUAGGAAGUGGGAGAGGUAGACGGUACUCGGUAGGAAGGGGUAAAAUCCUUUGAUCUAUUGAUGACCACCUGUGGCGAAGGCGGUCUACCAGAACACGUUCGACGGUGAGGGAUGAAAGCUGGGGGAGCAAACCGGAUUAGAUACCCGGGUAGUCCCAGCUGUAAACUAUGCAAACUCAGUGAUGCAUUGGCUUGUGGCCAAUGCAGUGCUGCAGGGAAGCCGUUAAGUUUGCCGCCUGGGAAGUACGUACGCAAGUAUGAAACUUAAAGGAAUUGGCGGGGGAGCACCACAAGGGGUGAAGCCUGCGGU
rnacentral:rRNA from 1 species